rnacentral:rRNA from 1 species
UACGGAGGAGGCAAGCGUUAUCCGGAAUUAUUGGGCGUAAAGCGUCCGUAGGUGGCUAGUCAAGUCUGCGGUCAAAGACUGGGGCUUAACCCUGGAAAGGCCGUGGAAACUGACGAGCUAGAGUGCAGUAGGGGUAGAGGGAAUUCCCGGUGUAGCGGUGAAAUGCGUAGAGCUCGGGAAGAACAUCGGUGGCGAAAGCACUCUACUGGACUGCAACUGACACUCAGGGACGAAAGCUAGGGGAGCGAAUGGG